rnacentral:rRNA from 1 species
GAUGAACGCUGGCGGCGUGCCUAAUACAUGCAGGUCGAGCGAACAGACGAGGAGCUUACUCCUUUGACGUUAGCGGCGGACGGGUGAGUAACACGUGGGUAACCUACCUAUAAGACUGGGAUAACUUCGGGAAACCGGAGCUAAUACCGGAUAAUAUUUCGAACCGCAUGGUUCGAUAGUGAAAGAUGGCUUUGCUAUCACUUAUAGAUGGACCUGCGCCGUAUUAGCUAGUUGGUAAGGUAACGGCUUACCAAGGCAACGAUACGUAGCCGACCUGAGAGGGUGAUCGGCCACACUGGAACCGAGACACGGUCCAGACUCCUACGGGAGGCAGCAGUAGGGAAUCUUCCGCAAUGGGCGAAAGCCUGACGGAGCAACGCCGCGUGAGUGAUGAAGGUCUUCGGAUCGUAAAACUCUGUUAUUAGGGAAGAACAAACGUGUAAGUAACUGUGCACGUCUUGACGGUACCUAAUCAGAAAGCCACGGCUAACUACGUG